CAGUGAUAAACUGGAGGAAGGUGGGGAUGACGUCAAGUCAUCAUGGCCCUUACGACCAGGGCUACACACGUGCUACAAUGGCGCAUACAAAGAGAAGCGACCUCGCGAGAGCAAGCGGACCUCAUAAAGUGCGUCGUAGUCCGGAUUGGAGUCUGCAACUCGACUCCAUGAAGUCGGAAUCGCUAGUAAUCGUGGAUCAGAAUGCCACGGUGAAUACGUUCCCGGGCCUUGUACACACCGCCCGUCACACCAUGGGAGUGGGUUGCAAAA
rnacentral:rRNA from 1 species